rnacentral:tRNA from 1 species
AGGGGUGUGGCUCAGUGGUAGAGUGCUUGCCUAAAAUGCAUGAGAUCCUGGGUUUCAGCCCCAGUACUGCCA